rnacentral:snRNA from 1 species
GCACAUGGGUUAGUCGAUCCUAA